AAGAGACCUUUAAGACAGCUGGUCAUUAUGCCGAACGGGUGUCCGUGCUAAGUUCGGUAUCAAUAUGGUGACCUCCUGGGAGCAGGAGGCCAUCAGGUUGCCUAAGGACAGGAGAACUGGCCCAGGUCAGAAAGGGAGCAGGUCAGGUCUCCGGCACCAAUCGGUAGUGGGACUGUGCCUGGGCAAUAUAGCAAGAUCUUGGUUCUU
rnacentral:sRNA from 1 species